ACGAGUCGUCCCUAUACCCCGUCCGGUAUGAGUGCCAAAAGAUAUCUUCCCUCAAUAUCUCGUCCAGUAUGAGGGUGAAACAGGUUGUUCCCAUACCCCGUCCGGUAUGAACGCUAAAUUACCAAACCUCGAUAUCUCAUUCGGUAUGAGGUAACAUUCACGGUAGGGUUCCCUAUGUACCAAGUCCGUCCACCAUCUUCCAAAAUAUCCAGUAAGGCUGUCGUUUCAUUCAUUUACUUAAUCAAAUAAUUUUUCAUUCACCUUUAAUUUUUAG
rnacentral:lncRNA from 1 species